CUGAUGGGAGGUGGAGAUAGAACGAGGGUGUCGGCCAUUUUGUGUCUGUUUCCUGCGGGACGCGCUGGUGGCGGUUGGUGUGGAGAACUCUGCGAGUCUCUUGGGUUUUUUGUUUUUUGUUUUUUCCAGCUUCUUUCCGCCUCUAUUCUGCCUGUUCUGUAGGGCGCAGUUAUGGGUCGCAAGAAGAAGAAGCAGCUCAAGCCGUGGUGCUGGUAUUGUAACAGAGAUUUUGAUGAUGAGAAGAUCCUUAUACAGCACCAAAAAGCAAAGCAUUUUAAAUGCCAUAUUUGUCAUAAGAAAUUAUACACAGGACCUGGUUUAGCAAUUCAUUGCAUGCAGGUCCAUAAAGAAACCAUAGAUGCAGUACCAAAUGCAAUACCUGGGAGAACAGACAUAGAGUUGGAAAUAUAUGGCAUGGAAGGUAUUCCAGAGAAAGAUAUGGAUGAAAGACGGCGACUUCUUGAACAGAAAACACAAGAGAGUCAGAAAAAGAAACAACAAGAUGAUUCUGAUGAAUAUGAUGAUGAUGAAUCUGCAGCCUCAACUUCCUUUCAGCCACAGCCUGUUCAACCUCAGCAAGGUUAUAUCCCACCAAUGGCUCAGCCAGGACUGCCUCCAGUUCCAGGGGCACCAGGAAUGCCUCCAGGCAUACCUCCAUUGAUGCCAGGUGUUCCUCCCCUGAUGCCAGGCAUGCCUCCAGUGAUGCCAGGAAUGCCGCCUGGAUUGCAUCAUCAGAGAAAAUACACCCAGUCAUUUUGCGGUGAAAACAUAAUGAUGCCAAUGGGUGGAAUGAUGCCACCUGGACCUGGAAUACCACCUCUGAUGCCAGGUAUGCCACCAGGUAUGCCCCCACCUGUUCCACGUCCUGGAAUUCCUCCAAUGACUCAAGCACAGGCUGUUUCAGCACCAGGUAUUCUUAAUAGACCACCUGCACCAACAGCAGCAGUACCUGCUCCACAGCCUCCAGUUACUAAGCCUCUUUUCCCCAGUGCUGGACAGAUGGGGACACCUGUAACAAGCUCAAGUACAGCUUCAUCCAAUUCAGAAAGUCUGUCUGCAUCUUCUAAAGCUCUGUUUCCUAGCACAGCACAAGCUCAGGCAGCUGUCCAAGGACCUGUUGGUACAGAUUUUAAGCCCUUAAAUAGUACUCCUGCAGCAACAACUACAGAACCCCCAAAGCCUACAUUCCCUGCUUAUACACAGUCUACAGCGUCAACCACUAGUACAACAAACAGUACUGCAGCAAAGCCAGCAGCUUCAAUAACAAGUAAGCCUGCUACACUCACAACCACCAGUGCAACCAGUAAGUUGAUCCAUCCAGAUGAGGAUAUAUCACUGGAAGAAAGAAGGGCACAGUUACCUAAAUAUCAGAGAAAUCUUCCUCGACCAGGACAAACUCCAAUUGGUAAUCCACCAGUUGGACCAAUUGGGGGUAUGAUGCCACCACAGCCAGGCCUGCCACAGCAGCAGGCAAUGCGACCUCCAAUGCCACCUCAUGGUCAGUAUGGUGGUCAUCAUCAAGGCAUGCCAGGUUAUCUUCCUGGCGCUAUGCCACCGUAUGGACAGGGACCACCAAUGGUGCCCCCUUACCAAGGUGGGCCUCCUCGACCUCCAAUGGGAAUGAGACCUCCUGUAAUGUCGCAAGGUGGCCGUUACUGAUCUUACUUCAUCAAGUCUAAUAGGUUUGGAGAUUAAACCUUUUCUCAACUUGUGCUGUUUAUAUAGACAAGCUUCCGUCAUUAAGGCUUCAUUGUGACUUUUAACAAACAUAAUCUUCCCACAUACCAGGAACUAUUGGACAUUUAUUUGACAUGGGAGAAAUUAUUUGGAAUAAUAAAACAGGAACUUUUCCUGAAGUUGCAAUUUAUACUGUAUGGCUUCUUUUUCAUGUUUCAUCUAGGUUUUUAGAAGUGAAGUAUAGUAAAUUUGGUUCGUUAAAUUGUGAAGGCGCUGGAAUUACAUGAACAUACCACCUUAAAUAAAGCCCUGCCAUAGGACAGGCUGAGGCUGAGUCUCAGUGUUGCCCUGUUCAGUCUGAGCAGCAGAAUUUCAGCAUUUGCUACUUACUGGUAGAGAAGAAAAACCCCACAGCCCUGCCAGUACAGGUUAGUUUAAUCUGUAAGUACCUGAUGUUCCUUUUUUUUUCUCCCCCACCCCACAAACAUAACCAUUUAAGGCACUUAGGAAGGAAGCUGCUGUGCAGUGACUUAAGUGUGAGUAUGAGUAACAGGUCCAUUGGAUGUUCUCAGACACUCAGGUCUUGGACCAAAGUCAGCUCUAGGUUGGUGACCUUGGUUGUAAUAAAGGUGUAAUGCUGCUCCUUUACUGGUUGGUGGUUCUUGACCUGUGUAGACAGACACCUCCGAGUUAAAAGAGAGAGAAGAAAUAUUUUGAUUAGCUCAGUUCUUGGUGGUAAUGCAAGGCUUCAGAUCCACUGCUGUAAUUACUCCAUGGUAGUUUUUACUUAUCACCCAUUACUUUCUACAGUAUGAGUCAACCUAUAAUGCUUUAAAUAUUGUAGUAAUACUUGUAAAGAAUCUGUGUGUCUUUGUAAGCUAUAAAUGGCAUUGGUGUGCCUCUUCAUCACUGGCAUGGAAGCUCACUGCAUAUUCAAAACCCUGCACAGUUGUGCACAUCUUUAAUCCCAGAACUCUGUAGGCAGAGGUAGAAGUAUAAAUUGAGGCAAGGCUAGGCUGUGUAAUGAUUCCCUGUCUUCUUUUUUUUUUUUUUUUUUUUUUUUAAACGUAAUUCUUGGAAGACGAGGAAGUCAUGCACAUCUUGCUUGAAAUUUAACCAGUAAAAGUAAGUUGGAUGGUGAUUAGCCAGUCUUCGAUUGGAUCAUUAUUAUUUUAUUUGGGAAUAUUAAGAUUUGUUUAAAUUUUUAAUGAUCUACAUCUAGCAGCCAGUAGUAGAAAUGUAUUUUGUGAGUUUUCCCCCACUUUGUUUUUUUGAUUGUAAAUUGCCUGAGGGCUUAAGUUUUAUUGCCUUUCACAGAAUGGCGUAGAUACAGUGGAAAUGGUUUUCCUUAAAACCAUCUCUUUAGAGCUGCCUUUCUGGUGAGUACUGCUUUAUAAUUUUUGUAUCACAGUUUUAUUUUUUUAAGCUAGCUGGAAGGUGACAGUGAUUGAAAUGAGCAGUUUUCAAAGCUUGGAUCAGAACCUUAAGAUGACAGUUACUGCCUGAUAAUUCCCUAUGUUUCCUAUUUAGAUUCUUUUUUUUUCCCCUUACUUUCCUAAAGUACCGUAUGCACAUAAACAUUGAACACAGAUUAUUUCCUUUGGUGAGGAAAAAUAAUUGUUAAUAAUUAUUAAAAUUAUAAAAAUUGUUAGAAACGGGAGAGAUGGCUUCAUAGUUAAGACCAUGUCAUAUUCCAGGUGUGGUAGCACACACUCUGGAGACAGAGGCAAGUGGAUCUCUUAGUUCCCAGUACAACCAGGGUUGCGUGAAGGAGUCGUGUCCCCCCCCUACCCCCAGCAAAAAAGGAAAAAAAAGAUAUGUCAUACAUUUGUUCAUACAUUUGUUGUCAUCUGAGUUGAGGUUCCCAAUCUCCAUGUCAUGUGGCUCACAGCCACCUAGCUGCUUCAGGAUCUGACACCCUGGGCUUUGUGCUCAUAAAACAUGUAAUUGAGAAAUACAUAUUUUUUUUAAAACCAAAGAUUCUUCCCCCCCCCCCCCCCCCCCCCGUACUCAUUUCCCAUUGUGUAGGUUAAUGAAAUAAUAUAUUGGUAUACUCUUCUGGAGUACUGAGCAGUAUAAAUGGAAAACUUAGGUUACAAAUACAGGUUUCUAGCAUUUGUUUACCUGUGAAAAAUUGGCUUACAAAUAGUAUUUAUUACUGUCUUUUUAGUGAUUAGCCUGUAACAUAAGGAUUUCUUUCUCUGUGGUUUUUAGCUAGAUUCUAAAUAAUACAGUUUUAUUUGUAUAUACAUUGUGUUUCUGCUGUAACCUUUGUGAAUAAGUCUACCUUUUCCCUCCUUAGUAUAGACAAUAUUUGUUUUUCUAAAAUCUGAAAUGUGUAAUCUGAGUGUGUUUGGUAAUGUAUUCUAGAUGAGCUCUCAACAAAGUUUUGAGCCUAAAUUUGUGUCUUUAGAUUUAAAGUGAAAUAAAUUUCUAAGGAACUCUGUCCUUUCCUAGCAUGGAUAAGCAGACAGUGACAGUUGGUAAGUAUAUAACUUCAAAUGCAUGUAGUAGUGGUAAAGGUGAGCUCCCAAAUUUUGUUCCAAGAUCAGAAGUGAGGCUUUCUAGGAUUUUAUAUGUAUAUCUAACGUUUUCUCCAAAUCUAAGUACUCAUUGAUUAAACUGAAAUGCACCUUACUUGUCUGAUUUGGUUUUUGUUUGUUUUGUUUUUAGGAGAUUUUUUUGUAUGGUAGUUUAAAAUCUAAUUUUAUAUUUUAAACUUUCUUUGGUGUAUAUCAAUAAGUGGCUCUUCUUUUGACAACCCAAUAUUGACCUGGAGUUUACUUAACACUUCUGUUUUUCAUUUCAAUUUAUGACUAAGCAAAAUAUGGUGGCAAUGGGAGAGAACCACUCUUAAUUUCUGUAAUGGAGGUCAGUGCAUAAUUUAAGGUUUAUAUAUAUGUCUGUGGUGCACCCACAUGCAGUUUUUUCUUGAGGCCAGAAGAAUAUUGUCUGAUUCUUAGAGUGAAGUGGAGCUUCAGACACUUGUGACCUACCAUUGAACAGUCAGUGUUCAUCCCUGAGCCAGUGCUGGUUGGUGUUAUAUAGAGAGAGUUUGGUGCUGGGAAGGGAGCUUUUCUUGUAUUUUAUGAUUAUGCCCCCGGGGUAUGUAGGUAGUUUAUGUUUGUAUGUGGUUUCUAGGGAGCCAACUCAACCUUCUGGGAUUCUGUUGGUAACAAAAGUAUGAUAGGUAAGGUGAAAAGGGUCUAAUUUUAUUUCUGAGAUAUGAGUCAUUUUUUUACAGCAUUGUUUUCUGAAAAGUUAAAGAAGUGGGUAUGCUUGUCUUUAAUUUAGUCUCCAGGUUUACCCCUGACAAGUGUCAGUUGGAUUUGGAGAAAAUGAAGAGCAAAGUCAUGUGGGGGAUGUGAUUGAUUGUAUGGAGGAUCUGAGCAUAGCGUCAGAAGGAAGAAUAAAUUUGCUAGCCUGUGUAUGAUUAAAUGGUACAUGAGCAGAAAUUGUUAUAAAUGUCGUUUUUUAUAUAACUAAGUCUUCUAAAGGUAAUUAUAUGCUAGCCUUUAAUUCAUUAACAUUGGAACCUUGUGAUACAUGAAUUUGGUCGAGUUUAUUAAAAAUAAAAAUUUCCCACACAAAUAAUAGUGUAUGUGAUACUUUGAUGUGUCUCUCUCCUGGCUCAGGAACAUUAAAGUGUGUUCUUCUCCAACCCAAAUACACACACACACACACACACACACACACACACACACACACACACACACACAAAGAUUUGCACUUAGCAAGAUAGAUCUCUCUUUAUCCCUGGUGUUAAUGGAAUUUGAUAUGUGUGUUCUGCUGACCUGGAACUCUAGAAAUCCUCCUGCCUUUUGUCUCUCCAGUGGUGGGAUUAAAGGUAUAUACCACCAAGCUGAGCAUAGAUUUGACUCUUCAUCAUCUCUAGUUCCUGUACUUAUAUGCCCAUACCUUAGCAAUGAUCUAAGUAAUUUAAUUGCAGUGUGUACUUAAUGUUUUCUGUUUUUCCAUAACCUUUACAUGGAAUGCCAUCCUUCUACCACUGUGCAAGCAACCUCCAGCUCUCUUUUCCCUUACAGUGAGGCUGCAUAGCCUUAGCUGUCCUAGAAAAGUCUGUAGAAUAGGUUGUCCAUGAGCUCCCCUUUCCUUUGCCUCAUAAGAGUGCCACCAUGCAUACAUAUAAAUUAUAUCCAUGAAUGUGCAGUUGUCUGCAGCGGCCAAAAGAGGUGGUGGAUCAGCCACCUCUGAUAUUGAUGCAAGGAAUUAGAAUCACUUCAUUUGUAAGAACAUCUAGUUACCUUAACCACUCAGCCAUCUCUCCAGCUUAAUAAAGGAACGACUGUUUAAAGAGAAAGAAACAGGUCCAGAGGUGGUACACAUAAUCUCCACCUCAUAAGAAGCAGAGGCAGGCCAUCCGAGUCUAGGCACAGAAGCCCUUUCUCAAAAUCUAAGUGAAUUUAAAUAACGUUCUAUUAUAUGCCUGUAUGAAUGGGCAUUUUGAAUGUAUGCAUGUGUACUGUAGGCAUGUGUGGUUUCCACAGAGGUCAGAAAAAGAUGUCAGAUCUCCUGGGCUGCAGUCACACAUGGUUGUGAGUUGCUAUGUGGGUGCUGAGAACUGAACAUCAGUCCUGCAAGAGCAAGCAGUAUUCUUACUGUCUUUUCAGCCCUGAGACCAAGUUUUAUUAAAAGGUCUAGGCUGUCUGUUCUAAACUUAAGAUUAUAUUUCAGCCUCUAAAAUAGUGUUUCACAGACCUCUACUACCAGAACUUUAUUCAUAAUGUAUUGAAACAUUUUUGUGUAAAGCAAUUGAGUAGCUCAUUAAGAGUAGGUUUCAUUUUCACUUCAGAUAAUGAAAGUGAGUUUAUCUGUAAGAUUUGAAAUCUGAAUGAAUCAUGGUGUUCUGUUUAAGAUACCUUUAAGAUAUAAUGAUUAUAACUUUUAAAUACCAAAGAUCUUUUGGACAACAAUUUUGCAGGCGAAAUGUAGUUAGUAAAUAUUUAAUGAAAAUUGGGACUUGGGGGGGGGUUCUUUGUGUGGCUGAGGAGUUGGACUGAGUUGGUAAGAUCCCGUGUUACUCAGCCACAUCCAUGGCUCAGUGCUGUUUUAAGUAACUCAUUUUUGACUGAAUCAUGUGCUUGGAUUGUAGGGUGUUUAGUAUGCCUUGUCAAGUUUUAUGACCCCUUUAAACAAGAGUCAAUGAUAAGUUCAAGGCCUUGUUAUAGGUUUUACUUUUGUAAAAAUUUCAAACAGUUAGAUAAACAUAUUGUGAGCCAAACUCUUGCUAUAGGUAGGAAGUAAUUACACGUUCAAGGUCAUUCUCUACUGCAUGUGGUUUUGAGACAGUCUUAGCUCCCCAUUACAAUAAAGUACCAGGACUAGAGAGAGAUGGAUGGCUCAGCAGUUAAACUGACUGCUCUUCCCAAGGUCCUGAGUUCAAAUCCCAGCAGCCACCUGGUGGCUCACAACCAUCUGUAAUGAGAUCUGAUGCCCUCUUCUGGGGUGUCUGAACAUAGCUACAGUGUACUUAUAAUAAUUAAUAAAUCUUUUUAAAAAAUAAAGUUCCAAUAUCAGGAGUCAUAUUAUGUCAGCAUAAAGGAGUUCUUUUGAGGAUGGAUCCUCUAAAUGCUGUGAUAUAAACUGUGAUAGUAAAUAAUGGGAUUUUUCAGGGUUUUAAUUUUUGGUUCUUUAGAAUAAUCCCAGAGGGUUAGGAUCACACUUUGGAAUUUGUUUUGUUUGUUUCUCGACAGCCCUGGCUGUCCUGGAACUCACUUUGUAGACCAGGCUGGCCUUGAACUCAGAAAUCCGCCUGCCUCCCAAGUGCUGGGAUUAAAGGCCAUCACUACGCCCGUACACUUUCAGAAUUUUUUUUUUUUUUUUUUUUUUUUAUGAUUUUGUUUUUGUUUUUCGAGACAGGGUUUCUCUGUUUAGCCCUGGCUGUCCUGGAACUCACUCUGUAGACCAGGCUCGCCUUGAACUCAGAAAUCUGCCUGCCUCUGCCUCCCUGGAUCUCUGCUGGGAUUAAAGGGUGACUCACCAUUACCUGAGCCACUUUGGAAUUUUACUGACAUUAAGAAAAGGAAGCAUUCCAUGCCCAGCCACAGACCCCAAGAGCAGCUUUCAACUGUUGAGUUUUCUUCUACUUAAGUAGUACUACAUUAUUGAUUCACAAAUAUUAACUAUUGGUUUCUGUCCUUGGUAAAGAUUUAGCUCACUCCAUCUCUACCAUACUUUACCUCUGUGACUAUAGCAUGCUCUUUCAUUGUUGCUUUUGUAAAUUGUUUAAUUAAUAAAAGAUGUCUCAACCAAA